rnacentral:tRNA from 1 species
GGUCUCAUGGUGUAACGGUUAGCAGUCUGGACUCUGAUUCCAGCGAUCCGAGUUCAAAUCUCGGUGAGACCU